AAUAUAUCAGCUGCGGUGAGAGGGGUGGUUUUACCCUGGUGGCUGCUGGUUUCCUGGGGAGCAGUGGGACUCUGAAGAGUCUUCUCCAGCACCACAACUUGAAAGCAUCAACUCUUUGGCACUCAGCCUUCUUUAUGGUUCAACUGUGAUAUCCGUACAUGACUACUGGAAAACCACAGCUUUGACUCUACGGACCUUUGACUGGAGGAGCUGCACACCUUGGGAGAUGGGAGAGAUAUGAACGAGAAGGUUAAUGUUUCCGUACACCUCAGAAUCAUGAUGGCUCACGGGAAGCGUGUGUGUGUUUCCUCCUGCAAAUAAGAGGUGCCACAGCCCAGGACGCUGAUUCUCAAUGUACCUAAGAGAUGGCAUGUCAUCCCCACUUUGGACUUGAGGCUGGAGAGGGAUGGGGAGCCAUUGGCGUGGGGCACCCAAGGGAGAGAAGGUCUCAAACUCUUCCGUGGAGCUGGGCAGCCUGGCUUAAAGAAAAACAGUAACUAGUUUCUUGGUUAUUUUUUCUCUUCUUGCAGUUACUUAUUCAUUUUCCCAGAACUUUCUUUUACAGUAGGAGAAUGCACGAGGAAGAGAGUACAAGCAAGUGGAACUCAGUUCAUCUGAUGAUCUGCCCACAUCCGCUGAGUCACUCCUAAUGGCCCCUCAGAUGUCAUUUUCUUACUAAGACAUUUGGAAAUUUUUCUGCCUGUGAAUCAGAAGCAAACACUGUAAUUCACCAGUCUUCUCUAAGUUAUGCAAGGAACUUUGAUGUGCUCAGAAGUGGAAGCUCAGGGCGGAUGAAAUCAAUGAAUUCUCUGAGAACUUUGUUUUUCUCCUACUUGAAGUUCGUUUGCCAAGUGGAGGAUGCGAAGAGCUCAGUCUGACCACUGGAGUCACCUCUGCAGGAAGUCUGGGAGCAGCUGAUGUGGGGUUUCUUGAUGACACUGGUUUUCCUUAUCAUCUUGGUCCUGUUCCCAUAAUAGACCCGAGUGUCAUCCAGGAAGGGGCUUUCUGCCACAGCAUCUUGUCGAGGGCUGUUCCUCACAACGAAGGGCUGGCCUGAGGGUGCUUAAUCAUCUCCAGGGUCCUCGGGUGUGUGGGGUCGCCCCCGGCGUGCAGGGGACGCCUGCCCUCUGCCCCCCCGGAGCUCAGUUCAGGGCCUAUCACUGUCACCUGCCUUUGUCACAGCCCUUCUUGGGGGAGAAGAUG
ensembl:lncRNA